AUACGGAGGGUGCAAGCGUUACUCGGAAUCACUGGGCGUAAAGGAUGCGUAGGCGGAUAACCAAGUCAAAAGUGAAAUCCUACAGCUUAACUGUAGAACUGCUUUCGAAACUGGUUAUCUAGAAUAUGGAAGAGGCAGAUGGAAUUAGUGGUGUAGGGGUAAAAUCCGUAGAGAUCACUAGGAAUACCGAUUGCGAAGGCGAUCUGCUGGGACAUUAUUGACGCUGAGGCAUGAAAGCGUGGGGAGCAAACAGGAUUAGAUACCCUAGUAGUCC
rnacentral:rRNA from 1 species